CUUCAACUUGAGUUACUCAAUGAGAGGGCGCAGCACUCAUCACACACUCAUCACUCAUCACAGUCAAGGAGGGAAAUGGUCCCAAUCGUUUAUCCACCAUUCAUUUUUCCACAUAGGACAUUUUAGAAACACUUAAAAUAAGAGCUGUGUUUCGUGUAGGCUUUCCCUGGCAUGACGUUUAGAUAACAAUGUAAAUCUCUCUUGGACAAGGUGACUUUUAUUAAUAUAUGUGGCUCUAUUUACUCUCAGACUCAAGACAACACAUCCCUGCAAGCUCCAGCACGUAAUCUCCAGUUGACACCUUUGCUAACAGGUCUGUUGGAGCAGUGAUGCAUUGCUGAGGAGAUGAUGGAGCCAACAGAAGCCGACCCUCUGAAGAGGGAGGCGGUUGAGGGUGGUGGGGCGGCACCAUCAGCUCCGACCAAGAAGAGUUUGGGUCUUAGCAGUUGACCCACUGGAGGACGGCUGUCUUCUUCCUCUCCCUCUGCCUCAUCAUCGUCUUCACCUUCUCUUUCAUCAUCCCCUGUCCAGUCCGGCCGCAAUAUCUCACCUUCUGAACCAGCACCUUCCUUCAAGCAGGUGAAGAAGAGAUACAGUAACACAUUAUACUUGAGAAGGCAAGUUAAUAGGUGUCUUAACGCUGAACCUUUUUUUUCACUAUGGGACGGUUUCCCAGACACUGAUUAAGCUUUGUCCUGAAGUAAAAAGUCUCUAAAGAGUUAAAUUGAAAUAGCUUUUUAGUAUAGGACCAGGCUUAACCUGUGUCUGGGAAAACAGCCCAAGAUGUAAUGUUUGUAGAUGUAAAAUGUACUUCCUUUCUCUCCAUCACAGCCACUUAUGAUUUCUUGGCUAUAGAGGAUACAAGCAAAGACAAAGUGAUGGAUGUGCUGUUUGUCCUGAAGGGCAGUCAGAACAUCAGCUGUUUUGACGCAGCGUGUUAGGAUGGUAACCACCUGAGGACUUGAAAAUGAGCCAGAGCUGAGAGGAUCACCAAAACUAAAGAGCAUAGAACCACGCCGGCAACCAUCCGUGGAGAUCAGUGGACAAAGGGCUGGACAACAGGCCGCACCGGAAAAACGCAUCGAUCCACACAAUACCAACUGGGAUUGGUAUUCAUCAACAUCUUUAUGCUUUCGUUAAUAAAAUGAUAAAGAAUACUCUCGCCAGCUUUUAUCCAUGCCUGGGCCUGCAGGACGCAAAGUAAAUGUUUGACAGACGAAUCAUUGGGUCGAAACUACAGAACAUUACAAAACAAGAGAACACACAUAGUUAAUGUUCUGGGGAAGAAAAUAAUAUAUAUACAGUAUACAGUG